GUCUAUGGCCCUACCACCCUGAACACACCUAAUGUCCUCUGAUCUCUGAAGCUAAGGAGGGUAAGUUUAGUACCUGGAUGGGUAUAUCUGUAGUGU
rnacentral:rRNA from 1 species